AAUGAAUGCUGGCGGCGUGCCUAACACAUGCAAGUCGAGCGAGAAAGUUUCUUCGGAAAUGAGUAAAGCGGCGAACGGUUGAGUAACGCGUGAGAAUCUACCUUUUAGUGAGGAAUACCUCCGAGAAAUCGGAGCUAAUACCGCAUAAGUCUGUAUAGCAAUAUAUAGAGAAAGAUGGCCUCUUUGCUAUCGCUGAAAGAUGAGCUUGCGUACUAUCAGUUAGUUGGUAGGGUAAUGGCCUACCAAGACUAUGACGGUUAGCCGGCCUGAGAGGGUGGUCGGCCAGACUGGAACUUAGAUACGGUCCAGACUCCUACGGGAGGCAGCAGUGGGGAAUCUUGCGCAAUGGGCGAAAGCCUGACGCAGCGACGCCGCGUGAAGGAUGAAGGCCUACGGGUUGUAAACUUCUGUUAAGUGGGAAGAAAGGCUCAAUUCUAAUAAAGUUGAGAGAUGACUGUACCAUUAGAGAAAGCACUGGCUAAACUCGUG
rnacentral:rRNA from 1 species